rnacentral:rRNA from 1 species
CUUCGGGGUACACGAGCGGCGAACGGGUGAGUAACACGUGGGUGAUCUGCCUCGUACUCUGGGAUAAGCCUGGGAAACUGGGUCUAAUACCGGAUAUGACCACGAAUCGCAUGGUUUGUGGUGGAAAGAUUUAUCGGUGCGAGAUGGGCCCGCGGCCUAUCAGCUUGUUGGUGGGGUAAUGGCCUACCAAGGCGACGACGGGUAGCCGACCUGAGAGGGUGACCGGCCACACUGGGACUGAGACACGGCCCAGACUCCUACGGGAGGCAGCAGUGGGGAAUAUUGCACAAUGGGCGAAAGCCUGAUGCAGCGACGCCGCGUGAGGGAUGACGGCCUUCGGGUUGUAAACCUCUUUCGACAGGGACGAAGCGUAAGUGACGGUACCUGUAGAAGAAGCACCGGCCAACUACGUGCCAGCAGCCGCGGUAAUACGUAGGGUGCGAGCGUUGUCCGGAAUUACUGGGCGUAAAGAGCUUGUAGGCGGUUCGUCGCGUCGAUUGUGAAAACUUGCAGCUCAACUGCAAGCUUGCAGUCGAUACGGGCGGACUAGAGUACUUCAGGGGAGACUGGAAUUCCUGGUGUAGCGGUGAAAUGCGCAGAUAUCAGGAGGAACACCGGUGGCGAAGGCGGGUCUCUGGGAAGUAACUGACGCUGAGAAGCAAACU